GCGGACGUGGCGAAACUGGUAGACGCAAGGGACUUAAAAUCCCUCGGUUAACACCGUACGGGUUCGAUUCCCGUCGUCCGCACCA
rnacentral:tRNA from 2 species